AUUGAACGCUGGCGGCAUGCCUUACACAUGCAAGUCGAACGGCAGCACGGGUGCUUGCACCUGGCGGCGAGUGGCGAACGGGUGAGCAAUACAUCGGAACGUACCUUAUCGUGGGGGAUAACGCAGCGAAAGUUGCGCUAAUACCGCAUACGCCCUGAGGGGGAAAGCGGGGGACCGUAAGGCCUCGCGCGAUUAGAGCGGCCGAUGUCUGAUUAGCUUGUUGGUGAGGUAAAAGCUCACCAAGGCGAUGAUCAGUAGCUGGUCUGAGAGGACGAUCAGCCACACUGGGACUGAGACACGGCCCAGACUCCUACGGGAGGCAGCAGUGGGGAAUUUUGGACAAUGGGGGCAACCCUGAUCCAGCAAUGCCGCGUGAGUGAAGAAGGCCUUCGGGUUGUAAAGCUCUUUUGUCAGGGAAGAAACAGCAGCUCUAACACAGUCUGCGAAUGACGGUACCUGAAGAAUAAGCACCGGCUAACUACGUGCCAGCCGCCGCAGUAA
rnacentral:rRNA from 1 species